rnacentral:rRNA from 1 species
AAGAGAUGAAAUACCAACCUGAACACAUCCAUCUCGUCUGGUUUCAGCAGCUGAACAGGGUUGGGUUUGGUUAAUACCUAGAUCGGAGACCUCAAAGGAAUACCAAGGAUCUUCAGGUC